UGGCUAGCUGAAAUGAACAUUUCAAUUCAUGCAACAUGAAAUACAAAAAUCCCCCAAGCUUUGUAAUUUCUACGAGAAAGUAAAAUAAUUAAAUAAAAAAGCUGUCAAAAAUAUAUUCAUUUAUAUCGUUUAGUUAUGAAAGAUAGGUGGAGAUAAUGAUAAUGAUUAAUGAGAGAGAGACAUUAAAGUUUAUUUAUUUUGGAUGGGAUGUGCAAAUUUAGUAUGAAACCCUAUUAAGAUUGGUAUGAGAUAUAGGAAGAAUUCAAAAUGGAAUAGGAAAUCAACAAUUUUUAUAUGCCAUCUAUGUUCAUAAGAUAUUAAAUUAUUGCAUUAAUUGAAUAUUCUUGUUAUGGAAAUGGAAAUUGAGUUGAAUUAUUGUACCAAUUAAACGUUAUAUUAAAUAUAGUAUUAAUUAUUGUACCAAUUACUUGUUAUAUAUCUCUCUCCACAUUCAAUACAAUAUUAAAUAUGGAAAUUCUGGAAAUAUGCCCUGCUGAGGAGAAAUAAAGGGAGGUUACACUCACCUAUAAACUCUAUAAAUAUGCCCUUUAGAGCAAUUGAGUAUGCACAGAAAAGAAACCCUAGCUUCUCGGUUGUCUAGAAUUCUUCAAUAUGUAGAAUUCUAGCCCCUUGCCUAGUUAUAAUUACUUGCUUCUUUGAUACUUUUUCGUCUUCUUCAUACUCAUUGAGGGUUUUCUUUACCUAUAUUUUAUGGAGGUAUGGAGUUGUACACUGAUGGAGGAAAUCCAAAUGAAUGUAUCGAGGAAAAUAAACAAGAGUUCCAAAAUAUUUGGUUCAAAUCUCUUGCAUAUCAAUAUCACAUUGAGUCAAUGAAUUACCAGAAUGUAAUGUUGCGCCGGACAGAGAAACCCGUAUUAUCAACUUGAAAUUCCUCCAGUUCGCAGAAGGGCAAGAUGAAACUGCAUACUAGGGUUUAGAGGUUUGAUCAGCCUUUCAGCAAGCUAAGUCAAAUUACCUGGUCUAAGCAAGUCAUGGUGUUCAUUGUUGUUAGCCGUAGUCUUCAUUAGGAACAUUCAAAAUUGAUGGCUUUCCAAUUGGGUGCAGCAACGCCAAUCUGUCCUCCUUGAUGGGGUAGCUAUGGCUCCAUCCCAUGGG